ACGCUGAGGCGCGRAAGCGUGGGGAGCAAACAGGAUUAGAUACCCUGGUAGUCCACGCCGUAAACGAUGUCGACUUGGAGGUUGUGCCCUUGAGGCGUGGCUUCCGGAGCUAACGCGUUAAGUCGACCGCCUGGGGAGUACGGCCGCAAGGUUAAAACUCAAAUGAAUUGACGGGGCCGCACAAGCGGUGGAGCAUGUGGUUUAAUUCGAUGCAACGCGAAGAAACCUUACCUGGUCUUGACAUCCACGGAAGUUUCAGAGAUGAGAAUGUGCCU
rnacentral:rRNA from 1 species